UGAUUGCAUAAAGACUUCUAUGUGAAUUUAUCCAAACUAAUAUAUUCUUUCUGGGCCAUAAAUGGACUUACACCACUUUCAUAAUUACUAAACUGUAAAAUUCAUUAAAUUUCUAUUAUGUAAAACUCAAUGUCACUUGAAACACAUUGCGUUUUAUUCUGAUUUUGUUCAUAUAUAAUAACAAGAAAUAAAAUAGUAUUGUUUAUUCUGAACAUUAAAAAUAUUUACUUAUUGUUAAACUAUUUUAUGAUAAAUUUAUCAUUAUUAUGAGCUUACCAUUAGACACUGCUUUUCAUUUAGAUUCAUUACAUGGAUUUUUUUCUAGUCCAUCAAAUUGUACAUUUGUUGGUAAUAUUUACAGUUUUACUCUUCUGUUGUAAGGGGCUGUCUUUAAAUGAUGUCCACACUGAAAGGGAGGGAGGGGUUAAGACAAGUUGGACAAGGAGGGUUGAGUAUUAGUGGACAUCCAUUUAUUUCAUUAAAUUUUAUACAAUAUGCAUUUUAUUAUAUUUAUUUCAAAGUUUCUUGUAUGUUUCAUUUCUACUUAUGGUAUCUAUCAUUCAUAAAGUGAUGAAGGUUUUAACAGGGAUAGAGUUAUGUUGGACAUCCAUAGAGGGAAAGGGGUUACAAAAACUUGGACAAACUGGGACAAGAGGGAAAAGUAAACAUUUCAAGAAAACUGCACAUGUAAUUUAUGGAUAGCCCAAGUACUUAGACUGUAGAAAAUGGACUUAUACCACUUUCAAAAUCAAUGGUUAUGCAAUGUCAUUUAUCGAUAAAUUUUCAAUUGAUCAAAGCUUAUGGUUAUUUUAAAAUGUUAAGUGAGAUCGGAAGAGC